rnacentral:rRNA from 1 species
CCUACGGGAGGCAGCAGUGGGGAAUAUUGGGCAAUGGGCGCAAGCCUGACCCAGCAACGCCGCGUGAAGGAAGAAGGCUCUAGGGUUGUAAACUUCUUUUAUCAGGGACGAAGCAAGAGACGGUACCUGAUGAAUAAGCCACGGCUAACUACGUGCCAGCAGCCGCGGUAAUACGGAGGUGGCAAGCGUUAUCCGGAUUUACUGGGUGUAAAGGGCGUGUAGGCGGGAAGGUAAGUCAGAUGUGAAAACCAUGGGCUCAACCUGUGGCCUGCAUUUGAAACUGUUUUUCUUGAGUACUGGAGAGGCAGACGGAAUUCCUAGUGUAGCGGUGAAAUGCGUAGAUAUAUGGAAGAACACCGGUGGCGAAAGCGGCUCUCUGGUCUGUAACUGACGCUGAGGUUCGAAAGUGUGGGUAGCAAACAGGAUUAGAUACCCCAGUAGUC